UACGUACGAGGCGAGCGUUAUCCGGAAUACUGGGCGUAAAGCGUGCGCAGGCGGUGAGCUGUGUCCGAUGUGAAAGCCCCGGGCUUAACCUGGGAAUGGCAUUGGAAACUGGCUCGCUGGAGUGUGGCAGGAGGGGGGUGGAAUUCCGGCGUGAGCAGUGAAAUGCGUAGAUAUGCGGAGGAACACCGAUGGCGAAGGCAAUCCCCUGGGCCUGCACUGACGCUCAUGCACGAAAGCGUGGGGAGC
rnacentral:rRNA from 1 species